UAGGGAAUCUUCCGCAAUGGACGCAAGUCUGACGGAGCAACGCCGCGUGAGUGAAGAAGGAUUUCGGUUCGUAAAACUCUGUUGUUAGAGAAGAACAGCGCAUAGAGUAACUGUUAUGCGUGUGACGGUAUCUAACCAGAAAGCCACGGCUAACUACGUGCCAGCAGCCGCGGUAAUACGUAGGUGGCAAGCGUUGUCCGGAUUUAUUGGGCGUAAAGCGAGCGCAGGCGGUCAAUUAAGUCUGAUGUGAAAGCCCCCGGCUCAACCGGGGAGGGUCAUUGGAAACUGGUUGACUUGAGUGCAGAAGAGGAAAGUGGAAUUCCAUGUGUAGCGGUGAAAUGCGCAGAGAUAUGGAGGAACACCAGUGGCGAAGGCGACUUUCUGGUCUGUAACUGACGCUGGUGUGCGAAAGCGUGGGAAUCAAACAGG
rnacentral:rRNA from 1 species